GGGGCCAUAGCUCAGCUGGGAGAGCACCUGCUUUGCACGCAGGGGGUCGGGAGUUCGAUUCUCCCUGGCUCCA
rnacentral:tRNA from 1 species